rnacentral:rRNA from 1 species
UACAGAGGGUGCAAGCGUUAAUCGGAAUUACUGGGCGUAAAGCGUGCGUAGUCGGUUAUCUAAGUCGGGUGUGAAAUCCCCGGGCUCAACCUGGGAAUUGCAUUCGAUACUGGAUAGCUAGAGUUCGGCAGAGGGAAGCGGAAUUUCGGGUGUAGCGGUGAAAUGCGUAGAUAUCCGAAGGAACAUCAGUGGCGAAGGCAGAUCUCUGGGCCGUAACUGACGCUGAGGAGCGAAAGCAUGGGGAGCGAACAGG